rnacentral:rRNA from 1 species
GGACCAGACUCCUACGGGAGGCAGCAGUGGGGGAUAUUGCACAAUGGGGGGAACCCUGAUGCAGCGACGCCGCGUGGGUGAAGGAGCGUUUCGGCGCGUAAAGCCCUAUCGGCAGGGAAGAAGGAGGACGGUACCUGACUAAGAAGCACCAGCUAACUCCGUGCCAGCAGCCGCGGUAAUACGGAGGGUGCGAGCGUUAAUCGGAAUUACUGGGCGUAAAGCGCUCGUAGGCGGUAUGUCAAGUCAAGGGUGAAAUCCCCGCGCUCAACGUGGGAACUGCCUUUGAAACUGGCAAACUGGAGUGUGUGAGAGGAUAGUGGAAUUCCAGGUGUAGGAGUGAAAUCCGUAGAUAUCUGGAGGAACAUCAGUGGCGAAGGCGACUAUCUGGCACAUAACUGGCGCUGAGGAGCGAAAGCGUGGGUAGCAAACAGGAUUAGAUACCCUUGUA